rnacentral:rRNA from 1 species
UACGUAGGGGGCAAGCGUUGUCCGGAUUUAUUGGGCGUAAAGAGCGUGUAGGCGGUUUGGUAGGUCCGCUGUGAAAACUCGAGGCUCAACCUCGAGACGCCGGUGGAAACCAUCAGACUAGAGUCCGGAAGAGGAGAGUGGAAUUCCUGGUGUAGCGGUGAAAUGCGCAGAUAUUAGGAAGAACACCGGUGGCGAAGGCGGCCCACUGGUCCGGUACUGACGCUGAGGUGCGAAAGCGUGGGGAGCAAACAGG